GCUUUGGUAACUCAGCAAGUUUGCAGUCUGUUUCAUGCAUCUCUUUCUCUACUGUGCCAUUAUCCUCUUCAACUGAUUCUGAUUGGUUCACAUUCUCUUUGAGUUCAUCCAAAGUUUCAGCAACUUCUAUUCUAUCCCCGUCCUCUUCAUGUGCAGGUACCUCCAGAGUUUCUUCUACAUCCUUGUCAUAUUCUGCAUGUCCAGUGGGCCCCUGUUUUUCGUUUAGGUCCUCACCGUCACCCUCCUCACAUAGGCUAUUAGUUGCCUCAAAAUUGCAGUCUAUUUCAUGCAUCUCUUUCUCUACUGUGCCAUUAUCCUUUUCAACUGAUUCUGACUGGUUCACAUUCUCUUUGAGUUCAUCCAAAGUUUCAGCAACUUCUAUUCUAUCCCCGUUCUCUUCAUGUGCAGGUACCUCUAGAGUUUCUUCUACAUCCUUGUCAUACUCCGCAUGUCCAGUGGACGCCUCUUUUUCGUUUAGGUCCUCACUGUCACCCUCCUCACAUAGGUUAUUAGUUGCCUCAAAAUUGCAGUCUGUUUCAUGCAUCUCUUUCUCUACCCUGCCAUUAUCCUCUUCAACUGAUUCUGACUGGUCCACAUUCUCUUUGAGUUCAUCCAAAGUUUCAGCAACUUCUAUUCUAUCCCCGUCCUCUUCAUGUGCAGGUACCUCCAGAGUUUCUUCUACAUCCUUGGCAUACUCUGCAUGUCCAGUGGACCGCUCUUUUUCACUUAGGUCCUCACUGUCACCCUCCUCACAUAGGUUAUUAGUUGCCUUAAAAUUGCAGUCUGUUUCAUGCAUCUCUUUCUCUACUGUGCCAUUAUCCUCUUCAACUGAUUCUGAAUGGUCCACAUUCUCUUUGAGUUCAUCCAAAGUUUCGGCAACUUCUAUUCUAUUCCCGUCCUCUUCAUGUGCAGGUACCUCCAGAGUUUCUUCUACAUCCUUGGCAUACUCUGCAUGACCAGUGGGCCCCUCUUUUUCAUUUAGGUCCUCACUGUCACCCUCUUCACAUAG
rnacentral:lncRNA from 1 species